ACGGGAGGCAGCAGUGGGGAAUAUUGCACAAUGGGCGCAAGCCUGAUGCAGCAACGCCGCGUGAAGGAUGAAGGUUUUCGGAUCGUAAACUUAUGUCUUCAGGGACGAAAUUUGACGGUACCUGAGGAGGAAGCCACGGCUAACUACGUGCCAGCAGCCGCGGUAAUACGUAGGUGGCGAGCGUUAUCCGGAUUUACUGGGUGUAAAGGGCGCGUAGGCGGGCUUUUAAGUCUGAUGUGAAAUCCCGAGGCUUAACCACGGAAUUGCAUUGGAAACUGGAAGUCUUGAGUGCUGGAGAGGAAAGCGGAAUUCCUAGUGUAGCGGUGAAAUGCGUAGAUAUUAGGAGGAACACCAGUGGCGAAGGCGGCUUUCUGGACAGUAACUGACGCUGAGGCGCGAAAGCGUGGGGAGCAAACAGGAUUAGAUACCCUGGUA
rnacentral:rRNA from 2 species